rnacentral:rRNA from 1 species
CAAGUCGAGCGGAACGAGUUAUCUGAACCUUCGGGGRACGAUAACGGCGUCGAGCGGCGGACGGGUGAGUAAUGCCUAGGAAAUUGCCCUGAUGUGGGGGAUAACCAUUGGAAACGAUGGCUAAUACCGCAUAAUGCCUACGGGCCAAAGAGGGGGACCUUCGGGCCUCUCGCGUCAGGAUAUGCCUAGGUGGGAUUAGCUAGUUGGUGAGGUAAUGGCUCACCAAGGCGACGAUCCCUAGCUGGUCUGAGAGGAUGAUCAGCCACACUGGAACUGAGACACGGUCCAGACUCCUACGGGAGGCAGCAGUGGGGAAUAUUGCACAAUGGGCGCAAGCCUGAUGCAGCCAUGCCGCGUGUGUGAAGAAGGCCUUCGGGUUGUAAAGCACUUUCAGUCGUGAGGAAGGURGUGUAGUUAAUAGCUGCAUUAYUUGACGUUAGCGACAGAAGAAGCACCGGCUAACUCCGUGCCAGCAGCCGCGGUAAUACGGAGGGUGCGAGCGUUAAUCGGAAUUACUGGGCGUAAAGCGCAUGCAGGUGGUUUGUUAAGUCAGAUGUGAAAGCCCGGGGCUCAACCUCGGAAUAGCAUUUGAAACUGGCAGACUAGAGUACUGUAGAGGGGGGUAGAAUUUCAGUGUAGCGGUGAAAUGCGUAGAGAUCUGAAGGAAUACCGGUGGCGAAGGCGGCCCCUGGACAGAUACUGAC